CCGAGGCCGCGGGGCGGGGGCAGCUCCGGCCCGGUCCCACCGGGAUCGCGCCGGCCCCGCUCCGCCAGCGGGAGCGGCGCCACCCGCGCAACCGGAGGGGACGGAGCUGGCAGAGAGAUGACAUUCCUGCCUGGAACAGUUACAGCUGCAGUGGGAAUGGAGAGCUAUCCUCAUAUGGCUGUGAGCACGCAAUGCUGAUGGGCAAGUUAAGUGUCCUUAGCCACCCCUUCUCUCUCUGCGGUAAAUUCACCUUGUGGGCGCAGGCUCCCGGAAUACGAAGCUGCCGCUGCGCUCGUGCUGCUCACAGCUGUGCUGCUAUCACUGUGCUGGUACAGUUGUGAGUGCUAGAACACACGCCUUGAACAGCUAGAAAACUCCUGCAGCAAGAGAAACUGCCAUUUUCACUCAAGAGGACCCUAGGUCAGUCAGGAGCCUCCCACUCCCAUAAGCCCUGAGAAGCUCCCGGAAGCUGACACCAGUGAAGCACUGAGGAGCAGAAGAGUCUGUGGGUAACCUGCUGGAAACCAGGGACUAUCCGUGGUGUGGCCUUCUCCCAAAUCUACCCAUAACAGUGGUCUGUCAGUGCUGGUAACAUCUCAGCACCCAAAGAGCCCACUGCUUUUGUCAGACCUGGAUGGACAAAGUGGAAGGCAAGUUUGAUGAAUAAGUAUUGCACUAUUAUAUUAAAUAAAUUGUAGGCUGGCCAUUUUUGUUACAGAUUAA